GAAAAAUAAUUUAGCCAUUGAUGUCCAAGGAAGUCAGGAGUUCGGAAUGACUCUGCUGCUGCAUGGGUCCAGUUGGUGUGGAUUCUACUCCAACAACAACACCGCACCACCAGAGACUUGGCCCGAACGUUCCUACCACACGGCAUCAGUGGCAAGAGGCAGUUCCCUUGCCAGUCAGGACGACUGACAAAUCACUGGAUGUUUUUCCACACAUUGGGCCAAACAGUGCAUUCAGUUACUCAGAAAUCGUGGACGCUUCAACACACGGUGUUAUGAAAGGAAAAAAAAAGUGUGCAGCAGGAGAAGGAAGCGAGAGAAACAGGCAGAGACAUCCCCUGGAUGCUGGAAUCCAUUAUUGCUGA
rnacentral:lncRNA from 1 species